UACGGGGGGGGCAAGCGUUGUUCGGAAUUACUGGGCGUAAAGGGCUCGUAGGCGGCCAACUAAGUCGAACGUGAAAUCCCCGAGCUCAACUCGGGAACUGCGUCCGAUACUGGCAGGCUUGAAUCCGGGAGAGGGAUGCGGAAUUCCAGGUGUAGCGGUGAAAUGCGUAGAUAUCUGGAGGAACACCGGUGGCGAAGGCGGCAUCCUGGACCGGCAUUGACGCUGAGGCGCGAAAGCCAGGGGAGCAAACGGG
rnacentral:rRNA from 1 species